rnacentral:rRNA from 1 species
UGGGGAAUUUUGGACAAUGGGCGAAAGCCUGAUCCAGCAAUGCCGCGUGUGUGAAGAAGGCCUUCGGGUUGUAAAGCACUUUUGUCCGGAAAGAAAUCCUUGGCUCUAAUACAGUCGGGGGAUGACGGUACCGGAAGAAUAAGCACCGGCUAACUACGUGCCAGCAGCCGCGGUAAUACGUAGGGUGCAAGCGUUAAUCGGAAUUACUGGGCGUAAAGCGUGCGCAGGCGGUUUGCUAAGACCGAUGUGAAAUCCCCGGGCUCAACCUGGGAACUGCAUUGGUGACUGGCAGGCUAGAGUAUGGCAGAGGGGGGUAGAAUUCCACGUGUAGCAGUGAAAUGCGUAGAGAUGUGGAGGAAUACCGAUGGCGAAGGCAGCCCCCUGGGCCAAUACUGACGCUCAUGCACGAAAGCGUGGGGAGCAAACAGGAUUAGAUACCCUGGUAGUCCACGCCCCUAAAACGAUGUCAACUAGUUGUUGGGGGACUUCAUUUUCCUUAGUAACGUAGCUAACGCGUGAAGUUGACCGCCUGGGGAGUACGGUCGCAAGAUUAAAACUUAAAGGAAUUGACGGGGUC